rnacentral:rRNA from 1 species
AACGAACGCUGGCGGCAUGCCUAACACAUGCAAGUCGAACGAGACCUUCGGGUCUAGUGGCGCACGGGUGCGUAACGCGUGGGAACCUGCCUUGAGGUUCGGAAUAACUCCCCGAAAGGGGUGCUAAUACCGGAUGAUGUCUUCGGACCAAAGAUUUAUCGCCUUUAGAUGGGCCCGCGUUGGAUUAGCUAGUUGGUGGGGUAAAGGCCUACCAAGGCGACGAUCCAUAGCUGGUCUGAGAGGAUGAUCAGCCACACUGGGACUGAGACACGGCCCAGACUCCUACGGGAGGCAGCAGUGGGGAAUAUUGGACAAUGGGCGAAAGCCUGAUCCAGCAAUGCCGCGUGAGUGAUGAAGGCCUUAGGGUUGUAAAGCUCUUUUACCAGGGAUGAUAAUGACAGUACCUGGAGAAUAAGCUCCGGCUAACUCCGUGCCAGCAGCCGCGGUAAUACGGAGGGAGCUAGCGUUGUUCGGAAUUACUGGGCGUAAAGCGCACGUAGGCGGCGACUCAAGUCAGAGGUGAAAGCCCGGGGCUCACCCCCGGAACUGCCUUUGAAACUAGUGCUAGAUCUAGGAGAGGUCAGUGGAAUCCGAGUGUGAGGUGAAAUCGUAGA